rnacentral:rRNA from 1 species
UACGAAGGGGGCUAGCGUUGUUCGGAUUUACUGGGCGUAAAGCGCGCGUAGGCGGUUCUUUAAGUUUGUUGUGAAAUCUUCACGGCUUAACCGGAAAACUGCGGUCAAGACUGGAGAACUGGAGAUUGGGAGAGGGAAGUGGAAUUCCUGGUGUAGCGGUGAAAUGCGUAGAUAUCAGGAGGAACACCCAUGGCGAAGGCAGCUUCCUGGCCCAAUUCUGACGCUGAGGUGCGAAAGCGUGGGUAGCGAACGGG